rnacentral:rRNA from 1 species
UUACGGUCAAAUCACGCUGAAAACACCGGUUCUCGUUUGAUCACCGAAGUUAAGCAUCGUAGAGCCAGGUCAGUACUUAGAUGGGGGACCGCUUGGGAACACCUGGUACUGUAAG